UACAGAGACUGCAAGCGUUAUUCGGAUUCACUGGGCGUAAAGGGUGCGCAGGCGGCCAAGUGUGUGAGGCGUGAAAGCCCGGGGCUCAACCCCGGAAUUGCACCUCAAACUACAUGGCUAGAGCAUUGGAGAGGGUAGCAGAAUUCAUGGUGUAGCAGUGAAAUGCGUAGAUAUCAUGAGGAAUACCAGAGGCGAAGGCGGCUACCUGGACAAUUGCUGACGCUCAGGCACGGAAGCGUGGGGAGCAAAAGGG
rnacentral:rRNA from 1 species